UACGUAGGAGACGAGCGUUGUCCGGAGUUACUGGGCGUAAAGGGCGCGUAGGUGGCUCGUGAAGCGUGCGGUGAAAGUCCGAGGCUCAACCUCGGAUCGGCCGUGCGGACUCGCGGGCUCGAGCGUUGUAGAGGCGGGUGGAAUUCCGGGUGUAGCGGUGGAAUGCGCAGAUAUCAGGAAGAACACCCGUGGCGAAGGCGGCUCUCUGGGACGGUACUGACGCUGAGACGCGAAAGCGUGGGGAGCGAACAGG
rnacentral:rRNA from 1 species